UACAGGGGGGGCAAGCGUUGUUCGGAAUUACUGGGCGUAAAGGGCUCGUAGGCGGCCAACUAAGUCGGACGUGAAAUCCCUCAGCUUAACUGGGGAACUGCGUCCGAUACUGGAUGGCUUGAGUUUGGGAGAGGGAUGCGGAAUUCCAGGUGUAGCGGUGAAAUGCGUAGAUAUCUGGAGGAACACCGGUGGCGAAGGCGGCAUCCUGGACCAACACUGACACUGAGGAGCGAAAGCCAGGGGAGCGAACGGG
rnacentral:rRNA from 1 species